AGCCCCGUAGUAUAGCGGUCAAGUAUGCUGGCCUUUGGAGCCAGCGGCCCAGGUUCGAAUCCUGGCGGGGCUA
rnacentral:tRNA from 1 species